UACGAAGGGGGCUAGCGUUGCUCGGAAUCACUGGGCGUAAAGCGCGCGCAGGCGGUCCUUUAAGUCUGAUGUGAAAUCCCGUGGCUUAACCACGGGCGGUCAUUGGAAACUGGGGGACUUGAGUGCAGAAGAGAAGAGCGGAAUUCCACGUGUAGCGGUGAAAUGCGUAGAGAUGUGGAGGAACACCAGUGGCGAAGGCGGCUCUUUGGUCUGUAACUGACGCUGAGGCGCGAAAGCGUGGGGAGCGAACAGG
rnacentral:rRNA from 1 species